AAAGCCAGAAGAAGAAAAAGUUAAGAAAGGAAACCCUCGUGGAAGGCUGUAGUCAGCAUGCCUGGCCUUCAGGAGGAACAGUGUCCCAGUGGGACAGAGCUGUUCGCUUCAAAUUUUAUGAAAGUGCAUGCCUGCCCCCACAACAUCUGGGGAGAGGAUAUCAUCUUCUGCUACUGCUCCUGCCUCGACUUCAGGUGCCCGCAGCCAACAACUGCCUCUACAAGGUUCUCGCCUACCCCCACCUGUAUGUUACGAUGGUCAUCUGGGCAGAUGCUAAGGCUUUCUGACACAGUGCUCUCUCAGGUUCAAGCUCCAGCCCUCUAUAGGGAAAAGACAGCAGCUACAAGGGACUGAACUUUUUGCUGCUUUCGGGGAAGGCCCUGACUUGGGCCAUGGCGGUGUGGGAGUGAGAGUACUCAGCUUGCUUGAACAGUUCCCUGCGCGAAAGAGAUUUCUGCAUAAUUGCUCAAGACUUCUGAGAAUUUGCCUUCUCCUGAGCGCUCACAGAAUCUGACAAGUUUACCCAAAUUAGUAACUCAGUCCCCAACCAAGUCUUACCAGAAUUUCCCAAGUUUCCUUACUGAGGCUGAGGCAGGAUUAAGCAAAGUGUUUUUGACUAAUUCGGAAGUGGGCAGGAGUCUUUGAGAACUUGUUUCACCGCAGCAAAGUUUGCAAACAGAGAGUAGGUGGAAUGAGGAGGCUCCUGUCUCUCUUUUUCAAAAAGGUCAGAACAUUUGAUAGAUGAAAUGGCAUCCAGAGAUCAGCCUCUUAACCUGGGCUCUUAUCUCUUGCUACUUGAGUGGAUGGUUGCCUGCGUGAAAGCGAUUUCCGCAUAAUUGCUCAAGACUUCAGAGAAUUUGCCUUCCCCUGAGUGCUCAGAGAAUCUGACAAGUUUACCAAAAUUUGCUACUCAGUCUCCAAUUGAGUCUUCCUGGAAUUUCCCAAGUUCCUCUACUGAGACUGAGGCAUAGCCAUUACAAUUAGGCAGAAUCUGACUUUUUAGCGCUGAGAGAGAUAGUUGAAUCAAAACAAACUCUUGUAUUUACUAUGGCUAACCAUACCAUUUCUGCAAUACAUGACCUGAGCUCUUGUGAAAUGGGUGGGAUCGGGAGACUCCUAAUGAGCCAGGUUUUGUCUCUUGGACUUGAUAUUUUUCAGUCCAUGGAGGACUGCACCAAGGAAGCCCUUGUACUGGGACAGAUCCACCCUUCUACCUGUCCUGCUAAUGGAGGUUUUUCCUUUGUAAGAAAGUGUAAUGGCUGGUCAGCCAAGACCUGGACACCAUUCUGAGGUGCUAGGCGUCUGACCACCCAUCCCACCCAGUCAGUUCCUGCCAUGGUCGGAAUUUCUCCACAACACCCAGUGUUCUUCCACUGGUUUUUUUCCCAGUUUAAUAUUUCGGCCUCCCCCAUUUCCAGAACUGGAGGAUAUAUCACUUACCUCUGCCUACAUGUCCCUAUCUCUGCCUGUAGAUCCAUGCUGUGAGCCCUGAUACCAUCUCACCAAAAUAAUGACUUUAAAAGGGAAACUGGCAGGGAUACACCCCACUAUGACUGACUGCAAUGAGGACUAUGAUCUCAUAUGACAGCUACAUCCACCUGUAUAUACACUAAUGCUCUGUUGGCUUACAAAUAAACAGGAUGAUAAAUGUGAUUGACAGAUGCACAAGUAGUGCCUUACAUUUUAAUAAAAUAUCAAGGUACUGGAUUUCAGCUGUUUGGAAUGUGUUUUACUACUGAAUAUUGUGGAGAGGUAGAAACUUUCCAAUUCCAGAUUUUCUAUGUUUCCUUUUAAGAUUAACCUUGUGGCCACGGAGACAUUAGGUUGGUGAGAAUUAGGUUGUCAGGCUUUAAGGUGUAUGAACGAGGUAGUCAAGACUGUCAGAGACAGUGAGGAACUUGAUGGUUACAUUUACUGGAGGUUAGUGAAUAAUGCAUUCUGAAGGGCAUUAUUCAAAAAGGUGAUAAGAGGCUCUUUUUAGUAAGAAGCUCUUUUUAAUGAAGAGGCCUACCUGUUUGUCUUCUGGGUGCAGGAUUUUUGUUGAAAGGGUAAAGCGUGGGAGCAACAAGUUGAGGCAUCUGUGUAGGGUCAGAAGUCAUUGGCUCACUGGUAUCAGGGGUGUCCAUGUGAGGAGCUGAACCAGAUGACAACGGUGGAUUCAGCCAUGACACUUUUUGACUAUGCGCCAUAGUCCUAUCCCAAGACGCAUCCGUAGCUGGAAUUUCUGAGGGGGUCUUUGUAGUUUGUUCUCCGAAUUCCUGGGCAGCAUGAACAAUGGAUGUAGAAAUCGUUCCCUGGGAUUGAGCGGAGGUAUGGGAUGGCAUUGCCCUUUCAGCCCCAGCAGAAGAAGAAAUGUCUCUGUCUUGUUGAACUGUGGGAUCUGCGCUCACGUUAGCAAGGGCGACUGCAGGGCCCAACCUGGAGCGGAGCUGAUUGAUCAGAGAGCGAUAUUCUCCUUCCAGCUGGUGAAGAGUGCCAUCCUCUCCCUGUGGGUCAGACGCCACGAUUGGUUGGUGAAGGAAACACCACACUUUCACCACACAAUACCCUCGGGGUUAUGCUUCUGUCAGAAAUCCUAACCCUGUCCAUGAUGAUAUUUUUCAGACGUUCUGUUUUCAUGAGUAAUAUAUGAAAAGGUCCAUCAUUUCAUGCAAUUAAACCAAUUGAACCAA